UGGCUCACGCAUCGAUGAAGAACGCAGCGAAAUGCGAUAAGUAAUGUGAAUUGCAGAUUUCAGUGAAUCAUCGAAUCUUUGAACGCACCUUGCACCUUCUGGUAUUCCGGAAGGUACAUCUGUUUGAGUGUCAUUAACUUCUCAACCAAAAAAACUUGUUUGCUGGUUGGAUAUGAGAGUUGUGGGUUGUAAGACCGACUCCCUUGAAAAAUAUUAGCUAGGAAUUAGUACAUAAUCUAAGUGCUUUAAUGCUUGAAGACCUCCUGGUGAGAUAAUUGUCUACGCCAUUGGUUUAGUUAGGGCACAUAAUUGGAUUUUGGAAUGUAUUCUUGCUUCAAACUGUCUUAUUCGACUAGUCUGUUAUGGACUAUUGACUAUUGUGACCUCAAAUCAGAUGGGACUACCCGCUGA
rnacentral:misc_RNA from 1 species